GCUGCAUGGCUGUCGUCAGCUCGUGUCGUGAGAUGUUCGGUUAAGUCCGGCAACGAGCGCAACCCACAUCUUUAGUUGCCAGCAGUUCGGCUGGGCACUCUAGAGAAACUGCCCGUGAUAAGCGGGAGGAAGGUGUGGAUGACGUCAAGUCCUCAUGGCCCUUACGGGUUGGGCUACACACGUGCUACAAUGGUGGUGACAGUGGGCAGCGAGACGGCAACGUCGAGCUAAUCUCCAAAAACCA
rnacentral:rRNA from 1 species